rnacentral:tRNA from 1 species
CUUAGCUCAGUUGGAUAGAGCGACGGCCUUCUAAGCCGUAGGUCGCAGGUUCGAAUCCUGCAGG